UUUUAUGGAUGAGCAAAGAAAGUGGUUUCUUGAGAUAGAAUAUACUCUUGGUGAAGAAGCUGUAAA
rnacentral:pre_miRNA from 1 species